UACGGAGGGUGCAAACGUUGCUCGGAAUUAUUGGGCGUAAAGCGCACGUAGGCGGUUUGUUAUGUCGGAUGUGAAAGCCCUCGGCUUAACCGAGGAAGUGCAUCCGAAACUGGCAAGCUUGAGUACAGAAGAGGGUCUCGGAAUUCCCGGUGUAGAGGUGAAAUUCGUAGAUAUCGGGAGGAACACCAGUGGCGAAGGCGGAGACCUGGGCUGAUACUGACGCUGAGGUGCGAAAGCGUGGGGAGCAGACAGG
rnacentral:rRNA from 1 species